GCUAAUUCUCUGAAGCAUGUUAUUAAUUUCUAAGGAGCUCAAUCUUAUUUAAAGUUGACAAUGUCCUAGUUAUUGUGCCCGGACCUUGUGUUUUCUCAUGAUUUCAAGCUUAAAUGAACUAUUGAUUAAUCUUAGGAGGAGGUGGACAUUCUAGUUACCGAAGUUUCCAGCUUCCUGGAAGUUCCCUACAGCUACAGACCUGCUGUGGCCAAGCUGGAAACUGGCCGUGUAGCCCCGCCUGGCUCCCAGGUGGAGGAGGCACAUUUUCUAUCUUGACUUCCCAGCCUCCAAGGGAGCAUCAAAUGUCAGUGCUAGGAGAGCUUGAAAAGAUUCUCUAGUCAAAGCCCCCCAUCUUUUUGUUCAGAGGAAGAAACAGGUCUGAGAGGGGGGAAGGGAAGUGACAAGUGCCUGAAGUUCCCGGAGUGAGCAAAGCCAUCCAAGUCCCUAACUCAGGCCUUUCCCCCCAAAUUUGUGCUCAGUUAUCUGGUAAUAGUUUAUCUCAUCCUCUGGUGAGCAAAGACUUGGACACAGCAGAGAGAAAAUCAGUGAAGGAGUGAGUGAAUGAAUGAGUGUGUGAGUAAAUGUAAACAAACAAACAAACACAGUGCUAAGUGCUGCAGGUAUAUCAUGGCCAAUCUGACGGCCCCUGCUCUCAUUGUGCUCACAUUCUGAGGGGAAGAAAGGGCUAACAGAGAUUCGUGUUUUCAAUGCCUUAGGUAGGGAUGGGGGGGGGGGCAGGUCCUGAGAAGUUUUGUCUUUUGGGGGGAUGGCCAAGAAGCCAAUCUUGGCUCACAGAGGAAAAACCUGAUUAAGUUUCUGAGCUUCCCAGGAGUGGAAUGAACUGCUUCCAGGACUUCUUGGAGGGGCCCCUGACCACUGGCUCUGUCAGGGAGGACCUUCUAGUCAAGUCCAGGCCGGAUUAGUGGCCGCUGAUGUCUCUCCCAUCCUGCCCUUCUCCCGUGAUUCUAAGGCGGCAGAAGCCUGGCUUCGAGACCCGCAGAAUUCGUGACUGGAUGCACACUUGAGAGGGGUAGAGGUGAAGCUCCACAGCCUUUUCCAUAGUGGCCGGAAACUGGAAACGGGUGGGUGCCCAUCAGUUGGAGAACAGCUGAACAAGUUCUGGUAUAUGAACGUUAGGGAAUAUUAUUCUUCUGUAAGAAAUGAGCAGCAGGAGGGUCUCAGAGAGGCCUGGGGAGACUGACGGGAGCCGAUGAGCAGCAGGAGGGUCUCAGAGAGGCCUGGGGAGACUGACGGGAGCCGAUGAGCAGCAGGAGGGUCUCAGAGAGGCCUGGGGAGACUGUCGGGAGCCGAUGAGCAGCAGGAGGGUCUCAGAGAGGCCUGGGGAGACUGACGGGAGCCGAUGAGCAGCAGGAGGGUCUCAGAGAGGCCUGGGGAGACUGACGGGAGCCGAUGAGCAGCAGGAGGGUCCUCAGAGAGGCCUGGGGAGACUGUCGGGAGCCGAUGAGCAGCAGGAGGGUCUCAGAGAGGCCUGGGGAGACUGACGGGAGCCGAUGAGCAGCAGGAGGGUCUCAGAGAGGCCUGGGGAGACUGACGGGAGCCGAUGAGCAGCAGGAGGGUCUCGGAGAGGCCUGGGGAGACUGACGGGAGCCGAUGAGCAGCAGGAGGGUCUCAGAGAGGCCUGGGGAGACUGACGGGAGCCGAUGCUGAGGGAAACGAGCAGGAGAUCACUGCACACGGCAACAACAAGACUAUACAGUGAUCAGACCCGAUGGACGCGGCUCUUGUCAAUGAUGAGAUACUGAGGCCAGCUGCCCCCAGAAGAGGCCUGUGGGAGCUGAGGGGCGAUCACAACAGCGUUCUCGCGCUUCUUGCUGCUUGCAUUUUGUUUCUCUUUUUUCCCCUUGUGCAGCGCGAUAAUCGUAUAAACAUAGAUACAUACAUUGGGUUUAACAUAUAGGUCUGCCAUGUUCAACAUAUACUGGACUACUUGCCAUCUGGGGGAGGGGGUGGGCAAAGGGGGGGCAACAGGAGCAGGUGCUGGCGAGAACAUUCGAGAAGCCCUUUGCAAACCUUCAGGCCACAGCUAAAUGCGACUUGCUGCUGUCUGGCUGCGGGGGAGGGGGCGUCCCUGCAGCGCAUCCGGCCGCGGGGAGCCCCGGCGUCGGCCGCGGAACUAGGCCGGAGGUGAGCGCUGAGAGCGCGUUUGAGCACGCGUGGAGGCGGAAGGGAGCAUUCUGGGGCCUCGGUUUCCCCAUCUGUAAAAUGGGAGCGGGGAAGGAGCGCGGUCGCAGCAGGCGAACUUCCGAGAUGACGUCCUGCCAGAGUUGGAGAAGCAGAGGCCCGCCCGCAGCCCUUCCCUCCAUCCAGGGCACGAGCCCCCUUCGGAGACUACGUUGCCCAGAAGCCUCUCGCGCGGCCGGGCGGAAGACGCCGCCGGUUGUGGGGGAACCGAGCACGUGCAGAGGGGCGGGGAGGAAAACAGGGCAGCGGCCUCCGAUUGGCGGACCGCACGUGAACGCUCGAGGCGGCGCAUGCUCAGAGCCGCCGUGGGCUUUCUCCUCGUCGCCUCUCCGAGCUACGCCACCGGGGCCUCUGCGGGACGCGGGAGGCGACUACGGGCCCGGAGCCCGGCCCGUGGGAAGCCCGGCGCCGCCGGGGCCCGCGGGAAAUGGAGCCCGCCGAGGGCUCCCGAACGCGGAGGUCCGGAAGAACGCCCGCACGUGCGCAGUGCCGCGGAGGGGCUGGCGUAGCGCGCGCAGCCCCGCCCUCCGAAGUAGCGGCGACUCUUCCAGAAAGGAGGAAACAUUGACUUCCUGGCCAAAGUCUGCAGCUGCUCCC
ensembl:lncRNA